UCUCUCUGAAUCUGCGAACGGCUCCGCAAACCAGUUGUAAACUAUAGCAAGCAAGCCUUGUGCCUGCCUUCACGGGUGGGUGCUUGGCGAUAUGGAUAACCCUGGUAAUUCUGAGGCUAAUACAAGAACGUAAAACCUGGCUGACUGCUUUCGUGGAAGGCUGGGGGACGUGCGAGUUGUGUCGCGAGAAUUUUCCGGGAAUGGACGCACGUUCAGACCGCGCUAAAAAGGAUCGGCUUCCCUUCACGGGGGGGCUGGCCCCAGCGGCUCUUGCUUUGUGCUUCUGACCUAUCAACUAGAUGGCAGCGUAACGGACAUGCUAUGGUGACAACGGGUACAGAGGAUUAGGGUUUGAUCCUGGAGAGUGGGCCUGAGAGAUU
rnacentral:rRNA from 1 species